rnacentral:rRNA from 1 species
GAUGAACGCUAGCGGCAGGCUUAAUACAUGCAAGUCGAGGGGCAGCACGGUUAGCAAUAACUGGUGGCGACCGGCGCACGGGUGCGUAACACGUAUACAAUCUACCUUAAACAGGGGGAUAGCCUUUCGAAAGAGAGAUUAAUACCCCGUAAUAAAUUGAACGGCAUCGUUUGAUUUUGAAAGCUCCGGCGGUUUGAGAUGAGUAUGCGUCUGAUUAGCUAGUUGGUGAGGUAACGGCUCACCAAGGCGACGAUCAGUAGGGGAUCUGAGAGGACUAACCCCCCACACUGGUACUGAGACACGGACCAGACUCCUACGGGAGGCAGCAGUAAGGAAUAUUGGUCAAUGGAGGCAACUCUGAACCAGCCAUGCCGCGUGCAGGAUGACGGCCCUAUGGGUUGUAAACUGCUUUUAUACAAGAGAAAACCCUGGUACGUGUACACGGUUGUAUAGUAUUGUUAAGUAAUAAAGUACGAUACGGCGUAA